UACAUGGGGUGCAAACGUUGCUCGGAAUUAUUGGGCGUAAAGCGCGCGUAGGCGGUUACUCAAGUCGGAUGUGAAAGCCCUCGGCUUAACUGAGGAAGUGCACCCGAAACUGAGUAGCUAGAGUACCAAAGAGGGUCGCGGAAUUCCCGGUGUAGAGGUGAAAUUCGUAGAUAUCGGGAGGAACACCUGUGGCGAAGGCGGCCACCUGGUUGGAUACUGACGCUGAGACGCGAAAGCGUGGGGAGCAAACAGG
rnacentral:rRNA from 1 species